CCUUCCCAAAUCCCUUAGCAAAUGUAUGCAAUGGGCCUGGGGGUGCUUUUGCUGGGUCGAAGUAUUGGGUCUGGCAAGUCAAGCAACAUUCCAUAGUUCAUAAAAUGCUCUUUCUUCUCGGUUUCUAUUUUCCGAGAGACAGACAUUCGGAGCGACGAAGAAAAGGAAAAACCAGAAGAAUCAAAGAUGAAGAAAAUGGAGUUUACUAACUGGGCCACCUAUUGUGCUGGGUGCUAUCCUUGGUACAAUCGUCGUCGUCAAUCUUCUCUUCGUCCAGAAUCCACGUGUCUUAUUCUUUUCAAUACACAUAAGUCUAUUGACUUAUUCGAUGAAGACCUUUGUUCUCUUACAUCCCCCUCAAGUUGGAGGGUAUAGAAGUUGCCCCCAACUUGCUAAGAAUGGAGUGGUGAGAAGGACCACAAAGGGAUUUGGUAAAGAUAUCGGCAAGCUGUGAAACAGAGGGAAUAUAAUAGAGUGUGAUGAGGCCGGAAAUGUACUGUUGGCGGACAAAAUGGUAGUCCAACUCAACGUGUUUCGUCCGCUCGUGAAAGAUGGAGUUUCUUACGAUGUGAAUCGUUGAUUUGCUGUCAGAAAGUACAAGAACCGGCAAUGAUGGUGAAAUAGAAAGAUCUUCAAAGAACCUGGUGAUUCAAGUUAGCUCUGCAACAAUACGUCUCAUGGAUCUGUACUCCGCUUCGGCUGAUGAUAGAGAAAGAGAAGCUUAUUUUAUUCGAUUUCCAUGAGGCAUGGGAUCCACCAAAAGAAAUAUAAAAUCCACUCAUAGAGCGUCUUGUUUCCAGGUAAGAGGCCCAAUCUUCAUCGCAAAAAGAAAACAAUUUGAGAAAAGGUGCUGAAUUAAAGAGAAUCCCUUGACCUGGGUCGGUUUGAAGAUAGCGGAGAACAUUUAUAGCUGCAGUAUAAUACGAAAGUCAGGGACUUUGCAUAAAUUUGCUAAUUUUAAGAAUAGCAAAGGACAAAUCGGGUCUCGUAUGGGUUAAAUAAUUCAAUUUUCCAACGAGAUGUCGAUAAACGGUAGGAUUUGAAAGAAAGGGUCUGUGGUCUGCAUGAAGCUUGGUAGAAGGCUCAAAAGGAGAAGCCACAGAAGAAGAAUCAGACAUAUCAAACUCACGCAAUAGUAUAAUUUGGCACCAUUGGAUUGGCCAAAUCUGUGUUCCAAGCUGAUCCAGAGCUCUCUAGCAGAAUUAGAGUAUAUAACACUGUCUCCAAUAUCUUUGGAUAAGGAGUUCAACAACCAAGAUGUAACCAUAUCAUUGCAUCGUGACCAAGGUUGAUAAUCCUUGAAAGUGAUAGGAGGAGAUGCAAAUGUUCCAUUGAUGAAGCCCACCUUGUUCUUUGCUGAAAGAGCUAUAAGGAUAAAUCUCUUCCAUCCCUGAAAACCCCUUCUAUCAUAUAUAAUAUUGACAAGCCUCAUGCCUGGUACAUCAUAAGAGUGAAGGAAAUAGGGAUGAUUGAGAUCGAGAUUGACCCCAUUUCCAGUUGAGGUUUGAGCCACAAAAGUUUCAGUGGAAUCAGGCAUAAUGAAGAAUAUAGAUGACUGAGAAUGAUGAUUUCAGAUUACCCAAAAUCGAGCUAGAUUUGCUCUGAUACCAUGAAAUAUUAAGAUAAAGAAUUGUAAAAUUUUGUGUAUAGAUCUCUAUCAAAGACAAUGUUUAUAUACAAAUAUCCUAUUGUAAAAUAAAAUAUAAAAAUGAAUUUCUGUACACUUGUCCUAUUUUAUUAGCUAAGUAUAACUAACUCUAACAGAUUUUAUUCCUCUAGAAACAUCUACAAAAUUUAACAGUUGUACCAAUUUUAAUCUGGACGAUUGUCUUUUAAUCUAUCAAAUUUGUGACCAACGUCCUUGAUGCAGCCGUGUGUCUUAUUCUUUUCCACACACAUAAGUCUAUUGACUUUCGAUGUAUCCGAUGAGUGUUGUGUCUGAGACUCUUCUUCUUUCUUCUUCCUCUCUUCUUCUUUGAGAAAAUUCGAUGAAGACCUCUGUUCUCUUACAUUCACUUGAUUCAAUAAUCUAAUUUGACUCCUAUUUAGGAGCUUGAUUACGAGUUUCCCAGUUGCCAAAAUGCAAAAUAUUGAUUGAUUUUCAGAUUCGAGCUGAUCGGAGUUGGAAAAAUUGAGGGAAAGGCCUUUGUAUUGAUUGAUUGAGCGAGGUUUGAGAUGGAAACAACGACUUCAAAAGUAGAGGUGAAAGUUCUUUCAACUACAUAGAAACUUCCUCAAUUAGAAGGUAACAACACUCUUGUUGCCGAUUCAAGUAUAUUCACACCUCCUAAAAAGCAUAAAAGAACAACUCCUUCUGAAAAUAAUUCUAGUAUCGGUAAUGGAAGGGAAACAUCUGAAAUUUGGAAACACUUUACCAAAUUUAUAGAUAAAGAUGGUAAGUGGAAGGCGAAAUAUCAUUUUUGUAGUCAAAGCUAUUGUUCUGAUAGUAAGAGAAAUAGGACAACUACAUUAUGGAACCAUCUAACUGGUAUUUAUAAAAAAAUCCCCUUUUAGAUUCAUUGAUAGGAAGCAAUCGACAAUUAGGCCUAUUCCUAUUAAGGAGGGGGACAAGGAGGUACUAAUGAUACUUGUAAGCUGGAAAAAAUUGUGUACAAUGUCAAUAAAGUGAGAAAAGCUAUUGCUGAAUUUGUAAUCAUUGAUGAACAACCUUUUAAAGUCAUUGAUUUUAAGAAAUUGAUGUCAGUUGUUUUGCCUAACUUUGAGUUGCCCUCUCAUUUGACUGUUACUAGGCAGUGUUUGAAAAUUUAUCACGAAGAAAAAGAAAAUCUUAGAAAGUUUAUCCAGAACUAACAUGUAUGUCUCACUAGUGAUACAUGGACAUUACUCUAGAACCUAAUUUAUAUGGUUAUAAAUUCUCACUGGAUUGAUGAUAACUGGAAGUUACAGAAGAAAAUUCUUAACUUUUUUCAAGUUCCAGAUUAUAAGGGUGAAACGAUUGCAAAGGGGAUUGAGGCUUUUCUGUUAGAUUGGGGGAUUGAAAAACCAUUCAUUGUGACCCUAGAUAAUGCAAGUGUGAAUGAUGCUGCGAUUAGACACUUGAAGGGGAGGAUUGAGGAUUAGAAAGGAAUCAUCUUGAGAAAUAACUUUCUACAUGUAAGAUGUAAUGCUCACAUUCUGAAUUUAAUUGUAAAAUAAGGGUUAAAUGAUCAUAAUGAAUCCAUUACUCAUUUCAGGAAUGUUGUAAAGUAUGUUAAGUCAUCUCCUGCAAGAUUUGCUUCCUUUAAGUCAUUUGUUGAAAAGGUAAAGAUAGAGAGCCAUGGUCUUUUGAGUUUAGAUGUUGAAACUAGGUGUAACUCGAUAUAUAUGAUAUUGAGUGCAGCUAUUAAAUUUGAAAAAGCCUUUUCAAGAAUGUAUAUUGAUGAUCAUAAGUACCAAAAGCAUUUUACAGAAAUGAUUGGAAGAGGCAGGCAUCCAAAUGGGGAUGAUUGGAAGAAGGUAAAAGAUUUUAUAAAGUUUCUUGACAUUUUCUACCAGAUUACUCUGAAAUUUUCGGGGACUCUGCAUGUUACUUCAAAUUCUUUCUGCCAUGAGCUUUUUAAUCUUCUUAAUUUUAUUACAAAUAAUUCUCAUGGUGAUGAUUCAAUUUUGAUUGAUAUGGCUGAUAAGAUGAAAGUCAAGUUUGAAAAAUAUUGGGGUGACUUUGAUAAUAUGAACAUAUUAUUAUUUGUCGUUGUUGUGUUGGAUCCCAGAUAUAAAAUAAAAUAUGUGAACUUCAUCUUUGCCAAAUCUUAUGAUCCUUUGGUGGAAAAUUUAAGGUCAACAAGGGUGAUGAAUAUUUUAUCUCGCUUGUAUGAUUACUAUAAAGAUUCUUCUUCUCGAACUUCUGAUGAGAAUCUGGGAAGUCCAUUUAGAAUGAUGAGUGAAAGUGAGAAUGGUGAGAUAUGGCACUCAUAAUGGGAAAAAUAUGUGCAAGAGGAAGAUGAUGGUGGAAAUAAAAAUGAUCUUGACAGGUACUUGAUGGACGAUUUGGAGUUGACCAAACAUUUAGAUAUCUUGGCAUAGUAAAAAGAUGCAAGUAAGAGGUAUCCAAUUAUUUCUAGGAUUGCAAGAGAUGUGCUUGCAAUUCCUAUUUCUAUCGUAGCAUCUUAAUCGGCUUUCAGCAUCGGUGGACGGAUUCUUGAUUCGUAUCGAAGUUCUUUGUCGCCAAAGACGGUAGAAGCUUUAAUUUGCACUCAACAAUGGUUGAGGUCAACUCCUAAAAAAUGCAUUGUUGAAGAUAUUCUAGAGAAAAUUCAAAAGCUUGAAAUGGUUGAGAAAGAAUACUCCGACAGUGUUUUGAGCAUUGAUUAACUUGGAUGAUGGAACCAACUUCAACUAUAUCCUUGUUGCUUGAAAUUUCGGAUGUAAUCUUGAUAUCAUUGUUUUAGUUUACCAUAUGAAAGACUGAGUAUUCUAUUAUGCCUUUAUUAUUGUAAUGUCUUUUGUGAAUUUUUUGAUGUCAUCUUUCUAAAGAUGGUGUUGGAAUAUUGGUGUUAACGGUUGACACUUGACAGUACAUGAAAUCAAAGAGUAUUUGAAUGUA